rnacentral:sRNA from 1 species
ACACGAGAAGGGAGGUGGUUCGGCAGAUGUAUCAAAUCCGGACGCGUGAGGUGACUGCGGGCUAGCAGUCCGUCGUCGCGCUCUGCGCAUUCGCCGGACUGGCGCACGAGGGAUGUGCGCAGCCGGCCAAUCCCAAGCAGUCACCCGGCCCGCGGGUCGCCGGUACGUCCGACCGGCCCCCAGGCGCCCUCACCGGCGCCAGGGGACAGACCCGCGGGUCGUCUGCG